rnacentral:rRNA from 1 species
CCUACGGGCCGCAGCAGUGGGGAAUAUUGCACAAUGGGCGCAAGCCUGAUGCAGCCAUGCCGCGUGUGUGAAGAAGGCCUUCGGGUUGUAAAGCACUUUCAGCGGGGAGGAAGGCGGUGAGGUUAAUAACCUCACCGAUUGACGUUACCCGCAGAAGAAGCACCGGCUAACUCCGUGCCAGCAGCCGCGGUAAUACGGAGGGUGCAAGAGUUAAUCGGAAUUACUGGGCGUAAAGCGCACGCAGGCGGUCUGUUAAGCCGGAUGUGAAAUCCCCGGGCUCAACCUGGGAACUGCAUUCGAAACUGGCAGGCUAGAGUCUUGUAGAGGGGGGUAGAAUUCCAGGUGUAGCGGUGAAAUGCGUAGAGAUCUGGAGGAAUACCGGUGGCGAAGGCGGCUCCCUGGACAAAGACUGACGCUCAGGUGCGAAAGCGUGGGGAGCAAACUGGAUUAGAUACCCGGGUAGUC